UAAAUUUUUGCUUAUAAGUGAAAAAUGUUUAUUUACCUUACAUGCACAGUUUAUUAACAAAAAACACGUUUCUACUUAAAAGUAAACAAGCAUUUAAGUAUCAUUAUAACGAUUAGCCAAGCAUGCAUAACCUGACGUAAAAAGUUUACAGCAAUUCCAGCAAACAAGAAUACAAGAAUACAUGCCAAUUGUGUAAUAUAGCAUUCGCCUUAAUCUGCCAAAACAUUUAGAAGUAAUCACAAACCCGGUUGGAAAGAAAAUUCACACCAAUAUCUUCACAACGUCAGGCGCAAUUCCCAGGCUCUUUCUUCGAGGAAUCAGGCAGAACUAUAGAUGCACAGGAGCAUUUUUGGGUUGCAAUUGAUAAUAGCAAAGCUCCGCGAGCUCUAGUGUUCCUGAAAAACUGUGAAUGCCCAUGAAUCAGAUUACUGUUUUACAAGCAUGAAGGUGCAUUUUGGGUUAAAGAUUACACCGUCAAAUUCUUAAGCUCAAUUUCACAAAGUAGGAGAUCAGAGUAGUUAAAGAAAGAGCUGCCACUCUCUGCCAAAAAGUCUUCACAAUAUGGAAACCAGGACACAGUUCACAGUAGUAAAUGUAGUUGUGAGUGAGGGUAUGAAUUUCAAUAAAAUAUCGGACAGUCACAACAAUUCGAAGAGUCAAAUUUAUAAGUUGGGCCGUGCCAAAUAUCAUGUUGUCUCAAACAGAUAUAACAUGGUUACCGCCAUGUUGGAGUAAGAAAAAUAGAAUACCCCUCAAAGAUUUGUUUAAAACAACAAUAUUUUACAAAAUAGAAUGCCACAACCGUAAUGCAAUAAAUAAACCUGUCUAAAUUUCAACAAACAUAAAUUUAUUUCUUCUUUGUAGUCUACCAAUAAUUACGAUCUUUUACUGGUCAAUAUGCAAGACCACUAAAUGUCAUUUACAACUCAGUUUUACAACUGUGCUAUUCAUAUGUUCUAUAACUAUUGGCCGACAUAUCUAAAGAAAAAGUACCAACAUAUAGAAUUAAAAGGAAAUUACAACAAAUUAUCAUCAAGUAUUUCAAAUGCUCCACUUAAAAAGAAACUUCAAGAAGCCGAGAUAAUAGGGAGUGCACUACCCAGGGUGAGCAAUUCAUGGCGUGUCCAUGUUUGUGUGUAUUUGAGAAAAGGCAACAGAAAUUAAUCAAUUGAAUAAAAGCACUAGAGGCCACAUCUAAC
rnacentral:lncRNA from 1 species